rnacentral:rRNA from 1 species
UCUCCCUACGGGGGGCAGCAGUGGGGAAUAUUGCACAAUGGGGGAAACCCUGAUGCAGCGAUGCCGCGUGAGUGAAGAAGUAUUUCGGUAUGUAAAGCUCUAUCAGCAGGGAAGAUAAUGACGGUACCUGAGUAAGAAGCCCCGGCUAACUACGUGCCAGCAGCCGCGGUAAUACGUAGGGGGCAGGCGUUAUCCGGAUUUACUGGGUGUAAAGGGAGCGUAGACGGCUGUGCAAGUCUGAAGUGAAAUGCCGGGGCCCAACCCCGGAACUGCUUUGGAAACUGUACAGCUAGAGUGCAGGAGGG